rnacentral:lncRNA from 1 species
UAAUGACAAACAUCCAUCUGCAUUAGUAGUUAUUUUACGUUUAAUAUGACAAAAAACAAACAUUCAUCCACAUUAAGUAUUUGUCAUAUUGGUUAAUUAAUUAUUUUACAUUUAUGUUUUAACAUUAGUUAGGAACAUUCACUGUGAAAACCAUCAUCUAAGGAUUAUAAAAUUUCAAAUUAUUGAUUUUAGAAAAAAAUAAGUUGUCAUAAUUAAAAAAAAAAAUAAAGAAAAUAUACCAAAAUCAAAUAUAGCCAAUCCUGUUGCACUGCAUUGUUCAUUUCAUAUAUAUAUAUACAUGCAUAUACAAAAUAGAAUUUGUUAUGAAUAUUAUGGUGAUGUCCAUACGGAAAGUCUUAGAUAUAUACUUGUUUCCCACUGCAAGUUAGAGUUUCUCCCCCAAGCUAUUGUAAUCCUAUAUAAAGGACCCAUUAUACAAUGAAUAAGACACACCAAUUCCUCUCUCUCUUCUAUACUUAUAACACAUUAUCAACACGAAACCCUAGCCGCUGAGUAAAAUCUAAAACCCUAGCUACUAUACAAAUCCAUAAUUGUUGGUGUAUGUGUUCUUGGUGACGUCAUCAUCAUUGUCCAUCGAUUA